rnacentral:lncRNA from 1 species
CAAGCCCAAUACACGAGAGGGGGACUAUAUAAGAAUCAAUGAAGCUGUCACUAUCACGAACCACCCCACGAUCUGGCAUAUUGGGUACAAUCGCAGAUAAAUACGGUAUAAGCACCACGCCUACACAAUAUCUAUCAUUUACCCAUGGAUCCGAUGGAUAAACGCUAUACAAUCCUAAGCAUGUAUAUAGAUCUAAUCUAACUAAGCCAAGU